CUGCACGUUUGUCCGAGGCUAAUACAUGCAGUCGAACGGAUCGUUAUAGCAAUAUGAUGUCUUAGUGGCGAACGGGUGAGUAACGCGUUGGUGACCUGCCCCGAAGAGGGGGAUAACAGCUCGAAAGGGCUGCUAAUACCCCAUGUGGUCGCAAAGGUUAGAGGCUUGGCGACUAAAGGAGCAAUCCGCUUCGGGAGGGGCCUGCGUCCCAUCAGCUAGUUGGUAGGGUAAUGGCCUACCAAGGCGACGACGGGUAGGGGGCCUGAGAGGGUGACCCCCCACACUGGCACUGAAACACGGGCCAGACACCUACGGGUGGCAGCAGUAGGGAAUAUUGCACAAUGGGCGAAAGCCUGAUGCAGCAACGCCGCGUGCGCGAUGAAGGCCUUCGGGUCGUAAAGCGCUUUUCGGGGAGAUGAGGAAGGACAGUAUCCCCGGAAUAAGGUUCGGCUAACUACGUGCCAGCAGCCGCGGUAAAACGUAAGAACCGAGCGUUAUCCGAAUUUACUGGGCGUAAAGCGCGUGUAGGCGGUUCGGUAAGUUGGAUGUGAAAUCUCCCGGCUCAACUGGGAGAGGUCGUUCAAUACUGUCGGACUAGAGGGUGGUAGAGGGAGGUGGAAUUCCCGGUGUAGUGGUGAAAUGCGUAGAUAUCGGGAGGAACACCAGUGGCGAAAGCGGCCUCCUGGACCAUUCCUGACGCUCAGACGCGAAAGCUAGGGGAGCAAACGGGAUUAGAAACCCCGGUAGUCCUAGCUGUAAACGAUGUUGACUUGGCGUUGGUGGCGUAAAAGCCAUCAGUGCCGUAGCUAACGCGUUAAGUCAACCGCCUUGGGGACUACGGCCGCAUGAU
rnacentral:rRNA from 1 species